rnacentral:rRNA from 1 species
GACGAACGCUGGCGGCGUGCUUAACACAUGCAAGUCGAACGGAAAGGCCCUGCUUGCAGGGUACUCGAGUGGCGAACGGGUGAGUAACACGUGGGUGAUCUGCCCUGCACUUCGGGAUAAGCCUUGGAAACUGUGUCUAAUACCGGAUAGGAGCCAUUCUUAGGGUGAGGGUUGGAAAGUUUUUUUGGUGUAGGAUGAGCUCGCGGCCUAUCAGCGUGUUGGUGGGGUAAUGGCCUACCAAGGCGGCCAUGGGCAGGCGGCCAGAGAGGGUGGACGGCCAGACUGGGUCUGGGAUACGGCCCAGACUCCUUCGGGAAGCAGCGGUGGGGAAGAUUGCACAAUGGGCGGGAGCCUGGAGCAGCCACGCCGCGUGGGGGAUGAAGGCCUUCGGGUUGUAAACUCCUUUCGCAAGGGACGAAGCUUUUUGUGACGGUACCUAGAGAAGAAGCACCGGCUAACUACGUG